CUUUUAGAUGACGAAGUGGUUGAUGCCAUGCUUCCAAGAAAAGCUUCUAAGCUUCAGGUAACCAGGAACCGUACCCCAAACCGACACAGGUGGUUGGGUAGAGAAUACCAAGGCGCUUGAGAGAACUCGGGUGAAGGAACUAGGCAAAAUGGCACCGUAACUUCGGGAGAAGGUGCGCCGGUGAGGGUGAAGGACUUGCUCCGUAAGCUCAUGCCGGUCGAAGAUACCAGGCC
rnacentral:rRNA from 1 species